rnacentral:rRNA from 1 species
CCUACGGGUGGCUGCAGUGGGGAAUAUUGGACAAUGGGCGAAAGCCUGAUCCAGCAAUGCCGCGUGAGUGAUGAAGGCCUUAGGGUUGUAAAGCUCUUUUGCCAGGGAUGAUAAUGACAGUACCUGGAGAAUAAGCUCCGGCUAACUCCGUGCCAGCAGCCGCGGUAAUACGGAGGGAGCUAGCGUUGUUCGGAAUUACUGGGCGUAAAGCGCACGUAGGCGGCUUUUUAAGUCAGGGGUGAAAUCCCGGGGCUCAACCUCGGAACUGCCUUUGAAACUGAAAAGCUAGAAUCUUGGAGAGGCGAGUGGAAUUCCGAGUGUAGAGGUGAAAUUCGUAGAUAUUCGGAAGAACACCAGUGGCGAAGGCGGCUCGCUGGACAAGUAUUGACGCUGAGGUGCGAAAGCGUGGGGAGCAAACAGGAUUAGAUACCCGAGUAGUC